UACGUAGGUGGCAAGCGUUGUUCGGAAUUAUUGGGCGUAAAGGGCGCGUAGGCGGUUUGUUAAGUCAGCUGUGAAAGCCCGGGGCUCAACCCCGGAGGGUCAGCUGAUACUGGCAGACUAGAGUACAGAAGAGGUAACUGGAAUUCCCGGUGUAGCGGUGAAAUGCGCAGAUAUCAGGAGGAACACCCGUGGCGAAAGCGGCUCUCUGGGACGGUACUGACGCUGAGACGCGAAAGCGUGGGGAGCAAACAGG
rnacentral:rRNA from 1 species